UUCACGACUUCUAGGUUUUACAGGAUUUGGAGGAAAAGCUGUUUUCGCCAUUAAUAAACUUUAUGGAAGCUGGCCACCUGGAACAGAUUCCUUAUAUAGUUAAGUCAAACUGAAGAGUGGAGUCAUCCGAGGCGAGCGAUAAUUGCCAAUCAAUUUGCGAGACUAUCAAUUGAGUUAACUGACAUUGUGGUACAUACAUUGCUACAUUCUAAUGGAAUUAAUUCGACGAUGUUGAGGUGAGCGAAAAUGCACAUUACAGCUUGUUCAGCAUGUACCUGGGCUUGGGUACAAAGGAAAAGCAGCAGUCGUGAGGAUUUAAUACCAUUAUCUUUCAUUAAGAAGCUUAUAGAGGACAGAGCUGUUGGUGAGGAAGGUGUCGAGUUACUGCAGUACUGCAACUGGGAAAAUCCACAUUUCGCACGUGCCCCACUAACCGAACCAUGAGAAAAUUAGAUUAUGAUAUAACGACGACGAAAAUUGGUACCAGUAAAAGAUUAUGAAUGCUCCGUUUUGUAUGUGAAAUUUGAGUAUGUAAUGAAAUCUGUGUUCGUAUGGAAUAUUAGGUUAUGCCAAAGGUUGGCUUUAGUAUAAUGCGGCAUUCCGGCAUACCGUUGCAAAUAACUCACUGGCGCCGAGCCGUUGAAGAAACGUGAAAGAAAUGGUUCCGAUACUAGAAAGUCAAUAUUCUUGUUAAGGGUCAUCGAAAAAUUCCUUGUGUUGUAAAUAAUAAAGGGAAUGCCAGAUUAUACUAAAGCCAGUUUCCCGACAUAAACUAAUAUUCCAUACAAACACAGAAAUAUAAAUGUAUCUAAACCUGAAUAACUCAAAUCAAAUUGGAUUGCAUUUGCAUAAUAUACCUAAUAUUGGAAUCUGUUUUGAUCGUAAAAAUACAACUUGCAAUCAUUUAGAUUAUAGUUUUGAAAGAAAUUGAUUGCAAUCGUAAAUUGUAUCAAAAUUGUUAAUAGCAAUCUGCCUUAAAUUUAUGUUCCCCAUGUAACGGAUAUAAAAUACGUUAAAUCCGCACUAUCUGCAUUAACAAAAAAUAUA